AGAUUGAACGCUGGCGGCAUGCCUUACACAUGCAAGUCGAACGGUAGAGUAGCAAUACUUGAGAGUGGCGAACGGGUGAGUAAUAUAUCGGAACGUGCCCAGUCGUGGGGGAUAACGUAGAGAAAUUUACGCUAAUACCGCAUACGAUCUAAGGAUGAAAGCGGGGGACCGUAAGGCCUCGCGCGAUUGGAGCGGCUGAUAUCAGAUUAGGUUGUUGGUGAGGUAAAAGCUCACCAAGCCGACGAUCUGUAGCUGGUUUGAGAGAACGACCAGCCACACUGGGACUGAGACACGGCCCAGACUCUACGGGAGCAGCAGUGGGGAAUUUUGGACAAUGGGCGAAAAGCCUGAUCCAGCAAAUGCCGCGUGCAGGAAGAAGGACGUCGUGUAACGUAGUACUUGUUA
rnacentral:rRNA from 1 species